rnacentral:rRNA from 1 species
GAGUUUGAUCCUGGCUCAGAACGAACGCUGGCGGCAGGCCUAACACAUGCAAGUCGGACGCUCCGCAAGGAGAGUGGCAGACGGGUGAGUAACGCGUGGGAAUCUUCCUAUCGGUACGGAAUAGCUCAGGGAAACUUGGGGUAAUACCGCAUACGCCCUUCGGGGGAAAGGAUUUAUCGCCGAUAGAUGAGCCCGCGUCUGAUUAGCUAGUUGGUGAGGUAAUGGCUCACCAAGGCGACGAUCAGUAGCUGGUCUGAGAGGAUGACCAGCCACACUGGGACUGAGACACGGCCCAGACUCCUACGGGAGGCAGCAGUGGGGAAUAUUGGACAAUGGGCGCAAGCCUGAUCCAGCCAUGCCGCGUGAGUGACGAAGGUCUUCGGAUUGUAAAGCUCUUUUGCCAGGGACGAUAAUGACGGUACCUGGAGAAUAAGCCCCGGCUAACUUCGUG